rnacentral:rRNA from 1 species
AUUGAGCGCUGGCGGCAUGCUUUACACAUGCAAGUCGAACGGUAACAGGCCGCAAGGUGCUGACGAGUGGCGAACGGGUGAGUAAUGCAUCGGAACGUGCCCAGUCGUGGGGGAUAACGCAGCGAAAGCUGCGCUAAUACCGCAUACGAUCUAUGGAUGAAAGCGGGGGACCGUAAGGCCUCGCGCGAUUGGAGCGGCCGAUGUCAGAUUAGGUAGUGGGUGGGGUAAAGGCUCACCAAGCCAACGAUCUGUAGCUGGUCUGAGAGGACGACCAGCCACACUGGGACUGAGACACGGCCCAGACUCCUACGGGAGGCAGCAGUGGGGAAUUUUGGACAAUGGGCGCAAGCCUGAUCCAGCAAUGCCGCGUGCAGGAAGAAGGCCUUCGGGUUGUAAACUGCUUUUGUACGGAACGAAACGGUCCUGGUUAAUACCUGGGGCUAAUGACGGUACCGUAAGAAUAAGCACCGGCUAACUACGUGCCAGCCGCCGCGGUAACAC